AUGGUGCCGACUCGAGCUAUCAACAAACGCACGGUUGAGCAGGCUCUCUCCGACAGUAGUUGGUUGGAGGAUUGCCAGUUGGGAUUCUCUUUCAUGGCCCAGCUACAGCUGAUGCAUCUCAUCCAGGCUAUCGGUACGGUACCUCGGGACUCGGAGGGCGCGGACGAGUUCACCUGGCCAUGCUCCAGCUCGGGCUCCUACUCUGCCAGAUCGACUUAUGACAGACUUUGCGUGGACCGGAGGGGGUUUGACUCCACAUUCAUCGCGAUGAUCUGGGCGCUAUGGAAACAACGGAAUGCACGGGUCUUCAAUAGGCUAGAGCAACAACGUACCCCAACGGAGCUUGUGAUGAUUUUGCUAAAUGAGGUUGCCGAGUGGAAGGCAGCCGGGUUGGGUGUAGGAGGACUCCAACGAUUCGUGAGGAGUUAG
rnacentral:rRNA from 1 species